rnacentral:misc_RNA from 1 species
CUGUUCGAGCGUCAUUUCACCACUCAAGCCUGGCUUGGUAUUGGGCGCCGCGGUGUUCCGCGCGCCUCAAAGUCUCCGGCUGAGCUGUCCGUCUCCAAGCGUUGUGAUUUCAUUAAUCGCUUCGGGGUGCGGGCGGCCGCGGCCGUUAAAUCUUUCACAAGGUUGACCUCGGAUCAGGUAGGGAUACCCGCUGAACUUAA